rnacentral:rRNA from 1 species
GGAAUAUUGGACAAUGGGCGCAAGCCUGAUCCAGCAAUGCCGCGUGAGUGAUGAAGGCCUUCGGGUUGUAAAGCUCUUUCGCACGCGACGAUGACGACGGUAGCGUGAGAAGAAGCCCCGGCUAACUUCGUGCCAGCAGCCGCGGUAAUACGAAGGGGGCUAGCGUUGUUCGGAAUUACUGGGCGUAAAGGGCGCGUAGGCGGUCCCUCAAGUCAGGCGUGAAAGCCCCGGGCUCAACCUGGGAACUGCGCUUGAGACUGAUGGGCUCGAGUUCGGGAGAGGAUGGUGGAAUUCCCAGUGUAGAGGUGAAAUUCGUAGAUAUUGGGAAGAACACCGAUGGCGAAGGCAGCCAUCUGGACCGACACUGACGCUGAGGCGCGAAAGCGUGGGGAGCAAA